UACAGGGGGGGCAAGCGUUGUUCGGAAUUACUGGGCGUAAAGGGUCUGUAGGUGGCCAACUAAGUCAGACGUGAAAUCCCUCAGCUUAACUGGGGGAACUGCGUCUGAUACUGGAUGGCUCGAGUGUGGGAGAGGAAUGCGGAAUUCCAGGUGUAGCGGUGAAAUGCGUAGAGAUCGGGAAGAACAUCAGUGGCGAAGGCGGUCUGCUGGGCCGUUGCUGACGCUGAGGCGCGACAGCGUGGGGGAGCAAACAGG
rnacentral:rRNA from 1 species